CUCUGAAGCCAUUUCCAAGUUUCAAACAACCUUCUGAACCUCAAUGUUUAGGUUAAACCUCANUGUUUGAGCUAGUUAAUACUUGGAUGGGAGACCAGUGGGAAUACCAAGUGCUGUAGGGU
rnacentral:rRNA from 1 species